CGCUGGCGGCGUGCCUAAUACAUGCAAGUAGAACGCUGAAGGAGGAGCUUGCUUCUCCGGAUGAGUUGCGAACGGGUGAGUAACGCGUAGGUAACCUGCCUGGUAGCGGGGGAUAACUAUUGGAAACGAUAGCUAAUACCGCAUAAGAGUAGAUGUUGCAUGACAUUUACUUAAAAGGUGCAAUUGCAUCACUACCAGAUGGACCUGCGUUGUAUUAGCUAGUUGGUGGGGUAACGGCUCACCAAGGCGACGAUACAUAGCCGACCUGAGAGGGUGAUCGGCCACACUGGGACUGAGACACGGCCCAGACUCCUACGGGAGGCAGCAGUAGGGAAUCUUCGGCAAUGGACGGAAGUCUGACCGAGCAACGCCGCGUGAGUGAAGAAGGUUUUCGGAUCGUAAAGCUCUGUUGUAAGAGAAGAACGAGUGUGAGAGUGGAAAGUUCACACUGUGACGGUAUCUUACCAGAAAGGGACGGCUAACUACGUG
rnacentral:rRNA from 1 species